GAUGAUAAAGAAAGAAGCUUUUGGACACUCCUCAUGCUUAUGUAGUAGCUGAUGCGGUAUACAAUGCAAUGAUAGCAGAUGAAGUAAGCCUGGCUUUAAUUAUCAGUUUAAGCUUAAAAGGAUAAGAGAGUGGACGGAAGGGGCACAAAAUGAGGAAAUUGACUGAUAAGAAAGGAGGGAGGUGCAAAAAAAAAAGAAAAAAAGAAAGAAAAAAAGAAAAAAAAGAAAGGAGGUUCAAAAAAGAAAAAGAAAAAAAAGUAAGAUGGAGAUGCAUGCAAAAAAAGAAGAUAAAGCGUUGUUGGUGGAGAUGGAAUCAAGAACUGUUACAAGGGACAAAAGGAGUUGAUAUAGGAGAGGAAUGAGGCUGACAUAGGGGGAACAAGAUGAGGGAAGUUGCCUGACAAGAAAGAAGGAGAUGCAAAAAAGAAAAAAAGAAAGAAGGAGAUGCACGCAAAGAAAGAUAAAGAUCUGAUGGAGGAGAUGAAAUCAACAACCUCAUGAACUAUUACAAGGGAGAAAAGGAGUUGAAGUAGGAGAGGAAUAGGCUGACACAGUUCUGAACAUGCAAGGGAAUAAGAGAAAACUGCUCAGUCUAGGACAUGCUCCAGAUCCCAUGACGUGCAGAAGCUGACCAACACAAGGGCAAAUAAAAUCAAACUCAGGGGAGAAAGCUUUGGUUCUGCUUUCGGAUAGAAGUGUAGUGACAGUUCCCACACAAGACCUUCUACCAACCAAUCCUCGGAUACUUGACUAAGUUGAUGAUCUUCCACA